AUUUGACUCUGAACGCAAGUCACAAACAUCACCAGUUGCGGUGUUCUGAGCAGAAAGGGAAAGGGCAAGCCAAAUUGUGUUGUUUAAUGCUGAUUGACUUUGAAAUUUCUUUUGAAACAAAACUUGCUUUUGGUGAAGACCUAAUCUGACAUGAGUGCAGAGAAAAUGAAGAAGUAGCAGCAUUAUUACUAUCAUCCAAUCUUUAUUAAAAGCACACUAUGAAAAAAUCUGUUCUGAAGAGAAUAGGAACUGCUCUGACAUUUAAGCAAUUUUCAAACAUCCAGAACCAUUCAGGUUUACAUGGGAAAAGCUUAACUCAGUGAAUCACUAAUCACCUGGUGGCAACAUCAUGACACAGAAGAGGAAAUAUUUGCCGUAUGUGGGAGGCAUAUGCCAAUGAUUUUACCUACAGAGGAAAAGGAAAGAAAUUGAAGAUGAAGAGAAGAGUCACCAGGUGCUACUUGAAAAAAUGUUAUGAAUUAAUACAACUUUGCACGCUGACAGAAGUUUUUAGGCCCAUUAGGUUUGAGAAUUGCUUGCAAAAAAUAAUCUGGUUCAUUUCCAACUCUUUAAAAAACAUGUAAAUAUUAAGUCUUUCUGUACCUUCAUUAUCACAGUGUUAUCCAGUUGCCCUCAAACAGUGAUCCUAUAUUAUUUAAUAUAGGGGACAACACAUUGUGGAAAUAGCUUUUCAGCAAAUGUUCCUUUUCUUGACCUUGUCAAAUUGUUUCCCCAAGUAUAAACCUAAGACAACCAUAUCUUCCAGCCAGCCCUUGGGAUAUUGUAAGGAUCAAAGAGGUAAUGUCUUAGA
rnacentral:lncRNA from 1 species